UACGUAGGGGGCUAGCGUUGUCCGGAUUUACUGGGCGUAAAGGGUGAGUAGGCGGUUAUGUAUGUCAGAUGUAAAAGGCGCGGGCUUAACUUGCGUUAGCAUUUGAAACUGCAUAACUUGAGUGCAGGAGAGGUAAGCGGAAUUCCUAGUGUAGCGGUGAAAUGCGUAGAUAUUAGGAGGAACACCGGUGGCGAAGGCGGCUUACUGGACUGUAACUGACGCUGAGUCACGAAAGCGUGGGUAGCAAACAGG
rnacentral:rRNA from 1 species